rnacentral:rRNA from 1 species
UCUGCUCAAUGAUUUUUUAAAUUGCUGUGGUAUUUUGACUAUACAAAGGUAUUGAAAUAAGAUUUUAAUUGAAUGCUAAGAGAACGGAAGUUCAGAAAAAAACUUUUUUUAAAUUAAAAAUUGAAGUUUUUUUAAUUUGUGCAGAAACAAUUAUUUAUAUUAAAGACAAGAAGACCCUAUGAAUUUAUUAAAUUUUUAUUUAAUAUGUAAUUACUAUUAGAAAAAUUUUGGCUGGGGCGGCUAGAAAAUAUUAUAAACUUUUUAAAAAUAAAAUGAUCCAUUAUUAAUGAUUCUAUGUUAAAUACUCUAGGGAUAACAGCGUAAUAUUUUUUG